GGCAUUCUCAGAAGGGGUCGGUCACCGCCAACUUAUCUUCAACUUUCUAUUAAUAAUGCUCUUCCCUUGUCUUUGCCUCACUGAUUCUCAAACUACAUCUGUGAGGGAAACAAGAAGACAAGGAUUUCUCACCUAGCAGAUGGGCACAUAAACAAGACACAUGCGUUGCGUGAGUAACCCAAGAUAUCAUGUCUUGAAGUUUUAGAUUUCAGAGCAACAUGUUAAAGAAGUGGGAUUGCUGAUUGGUGCAUCAGAUUGUCUCAAUGGAAUCCUGGCUCAGGCACUUUCUGUCUGGCUCAUCAUUUCUCCAUCUGUAAAGCAAGUCAUUAAAAAUGAAAUGUCCAA